UGAAGCCUUUGAAAAAAGAGGGCCAUACCCCAGUCUUUGCCUGUGGGAAUGUGGUGUACCACAGGAGGUCAGAUGGCAUUCCAUGAUGGAAUAACAUUUCUUACCAAAUUCAGCAGGUCAAAAGUGCUCUUUACCAUCCACAGACAGUAUUUGGCAGACUAGGAACAAGAAAUUCCACUACAUGUAAUAGCGGUUUGGUUGUGCAUGAACAGCAAAUGCAUCCAGUGCUGGUUUGUUAACAUGCAGGGGCUACCACUGUCUUCUUUUAGGAUAACAAGGAUGUCAGUUUCCAGCAAAAUAAUCCAGGAAGAACCCCAGGUCUUACUGUUCAAGACGCAAUGAGGUUGUGACCAUCAGGCUCAAAGCUGUGGAGAAAGAUGUCUGGCCGGGAGACAUACUGAUGUUAUGCUUUACUGAUGUUGUUGCCAACACCUACAAACCAUUCACUACAACUACCACAACAAACAAUGUACUGAUAAUGCAGAAAAUCUGAGCUACCUUUGUGAAAGAGGCCAAGAGAGGAUUGGAUGGUGGAGUUUCAGAUGACACAAUGCUGACUGUUUCCACCCAGCUGAUUUUGCUUCCUACAGGCAACAGAAGGAAGUCUUCACUUUUAUUUUAAACAAUUCAGUUUUAAUGCCACCAAUUUGUCAAGAUAACAUGUAACUGAACAGAUUGAAAUUACACCAACUUCCUUCAUUAACACAAAUUGUGUAUCUG